CGAUGCCUGCGAAGUMGCGAGAAGUCCACUGAACCUUAUCAUUUAGAGGAAGGAGAAGUCGUAACAAGGUUUCCGGAGGUGAACGUGCGGAAGGAUCAUUG
rnacentral:rRNA from 1 species